rfam:Triticum urartu cultivar G1812 contig376674, whole genome shotgun sequence.
GUAUUACCGGGAGCUCCCUUAAAGCACUUUACAAAGCACAUCUUUCAGGUAUUAUGUAAAGUGUUUGGGGGAACUCUUGGUGAAAC